UACGAAGGGGGCUAGCGUUGUUCGGAAUUACUGGGCGUAAAGCGUGCGCAGGCGGCUUCUCAAGUCAGGGGUGGAAGCCCAGAGCUCAACUCUGGAAUUGCCUUUGAGACUGAGUGGCUUGAGUACGGGAGAGGUGAGUGGAAUUCCCAGUGUAGAGGUGAAAUUCGUAGAUAUUGGGAAGAACACCGGUGGCGAAGGCGGCUCACUGGCCCGUAACUGACGCUCAUGCACGACAGCGUGGGGAUCAAACAGG
rnacentral:rRNA from 1 species